rnacentral:rRNA from 1 species
ACGCUCGACACCUACUGGAGGCAGCAGUUAGGAAUAUUCGUCAAUGGAGGAAACUCUGAACGAGCAAUGCCGCGUGAAGGAUGACGGUCCUUUGGAUUGUAAACUUCUGUUGUUAGGAACGAACAACCUAAGUAGGAAAUGACUUAGGCCUGACGGUACCUUUCAAGAAAGCUCCGGCUAACUACGUGACAGCAGCCGCGGUAAUCUGAGCGGGCUGGCAAGGC